rnacentral:rRNA from 1 species
UACGUAGGGUGCAAGCGUUAAUCGGAAUUACUGGGCGUAAAGCGUGCGCAGGCGGUGAUGUAAGACAGGUGUGAAAUCCCCGGGCUUAACCUGGGAACUGCAUUUGUGACUGCAUCGCUGGAGUGCGGCAGAGGGGGAUGGAAUUCCGCGUGUAGCAGUGAAAUGCGUAGAGAUGCGGAGGAACACCGAUGGCGAAGGCAGCCCCCUGGGUCGACACUGACGCUCAGGCACGAAAGCGUGGGGAGCAAACAGG